CAUACGAUCAUCGAAGUUAAGCAUCUUCGAGCCAGUUCAGUAUUUUGAUGGGUGAACGCUUGAGAAUAGCGCGUGCUGAAA